GAUGAACGCUAGCGGCAGGCCUACCACAUGCAAGUCGAGGUGUAACUAGAGUGAUAGCAAUAUUACUUUGGCUAGACCGGCGCACGGGUGCGUAACACGUAUGCAACCUACCUUAUACUGGGGAAUAACUUCGAGAAAUCGGCGCUAAUACCCCAUAACAUUGCGAAGAGGCAUCUCUUUGCAAUUAAAGCUCCGGCGGUAUAAGAUGGGCAUGCGUCCAAUUAGCUAGUUGGUGAGGUAACGGCUCACCGAGGCUACGAUUGGUAGGGGUUCUGAGAGGAUGAUCCCCCACACUGGUACUGAGACACGGACCAGACUCCUACGGGAGGCAGCAGUGAGGAAUAUUGCGCAAUGGACGAAAGUCUGACGCAGCCAUGCCGCGUGCAGGAUGACGGCCCUAUGGGUUGUAAACUGCUUUUGUACGGGAAUAAACCCUUCUACGUGUAGGAGGCUGAAGGUACCGUAAGAAUAAGCACCGGCUAACUCCGUGCCAGCAGCCGCCGUAAUAC
rnacentral:rRNA from 1 species